UUAAAUUGAAGAGUUUGAUCAUGGCUCAGAUUGAACGCUGGCGGCAGGCCUAACACAUGCAAGUCGAACGGUAACAGGAAGCAGCUUGCUGCUUUGCUGACGAGUGGCGGACGGGUGAGUAAUGUCUGGGAAACUGCCUGAUGGAGGGGGAUAACUACUGGAAACGGUGGCUAAUACCGCAUAACGUCGCAAGACCAAAGAGGGGGACCUUCGGGCCUCUUGCCAUCAGAUGUGCCCAGAUGGGAUUAGCUUGUUGGUGAGGUAACGGCUCACCAAGGCGACGAUCCCUAGCUGGUCUGAGAGGAUGACCAGCCACACUGGAACUGAGACACGGUCCAGACUCCUACGGGAGGCAGCAGUGGGGAAUAUUGCACAAUGGGCGCAAGCCUGAUGCAGCCAUGCCGCGUGUAUGAAGAAGGCCUUCGGGUUGUAAAGUACUUUCAGCGGGGAGGAAGGUGUUGUGGUUAAUAACCGCAGCAAUUGACGUUACCCGCAGAAGAAGCACCGGCUAACUCCGUGCCAGCAGCCGCGGUAAUACGGAGGGUGCAAGCGUUAAUCGGAAUUACUGGGCGUAAAGCGCACGCAGGCGGUCUGUCAAGUCGGAUGUGAAAUCCCCGGGCUCAACCUGGGAACUGCAUUCGAAACUGGCAGGCUUGAGUCUUGUAGAGGGGGUAGAAUUCCAGGUGUAGCGGUGAAAUGCGUAGAGAUCUGGAGGAAUACCGGUGGCGAAGGCGGCCCCCUGGACAAAGACUGACGCUCAGGUGCGAAAGCGUGGGGAGCAAACAGGAUUAGAUACCCUGGUAGUCCACGCCGUAAACGAUGUCUACUUGGAGGUUGUGCCCUUGAGGCGUGGCUUCCGGAGCUAACGCGUUAAGUAGACCGCCUGGGGAGUACGGCCGCAAGGUUAAAACUCAAAUGAAUUGACGGGGGCCCGCACAAGCGGUGGAGCAUGUGGUUUAAUUCGAUGCAACGCGAAGAACCUUACCUGGUCUUGACAUCCACGGAAGUUUUCAGAGAUGAGAAUGUGCCUUCGGGAACCGUGAGACAGGUGCUGCAUGGCUGUCGUCAGCUCGUGUUGUGAAAUGUUGGGUUAAGUCCCGCAACGAGCGCAACCCUUAUCCUUUGUUGCCAGCGGUCCGGCCGGGAACUCAAAGGAGACUGCCAGUGAUAAACUGGAGGAAGGUGGGGAUGACGUCAAGUCAUCAUGGCCCUUACGACCAGGGCUACACACGUGCUACAAUGGCGCAUACAAAGAGAAGCGACCUCGCGAGAGCAAGCGGACCUCAUAAAGUGCGUCGUAGUCCGGAUUGGAGUCUGCAACUCGACUCCAUGAAGUCGGAAUCGCUAGUAAUCGUGGAUCAGAAUGCCACGGUGAAUACGUUCCCGGGCCUUGUACACACCGCCCGUCACACCAUGGGAGUGGGUUGCAAAAGAAGUAGGUAGCUUAACCUUCGGGAGGGCGCUUACCACUUUGUGAUUCAUGACUGGGGUGAAGUCGUAACAAGGUAACCGUAGGGGAACCUGCGGUUGGAUCACCUCCUUACCUUAAAGAAGC
rnacentral:rRNA from 1 species